rnacentral:rRNA from 2 species
GUCUUUUAAUUGAAGUCUGGAAUGAAUGGUUGGAUGAAAAAUUUACUUUCUUUAUUUUAUAAAAAAAAAUUAUUUUUUAAGUUAAAAAACUUAAAUAUUUUUAUAGGACGAGAAGACCCUAUAGAACUUUAUUUUUAAAAAAUAAUCUUUAUUUUGUUUAUAAUUAAUAUUUAUUUUUGAUAAAAUUUGGUUGGGGUGAUAAAAAAAAUUUAAUAACUUUUUUUAUUUAUUUCAUUUUUUAAUGAUUUUAUUGAUCCUUUUUUAGGGAAAAAAGAUUAAGUUACCUUAGGGAUAACAGCGUUAUUAUUUUUGAGAGUUCUUAUUGAUAAAAUAGUUUGCGACCUCGAUGUUGGAUUAAAAUAAGUUUUCAGGAGUAUAAAAUUGAUUACUAGGUCUGUUCGACCUUUAAAUUUUUACA